rnacentral:lncRNA from 1 species
UUCUUGUUGUGUUGUUGGUGGUAGGUUUUUUCCCCUCUUCAUUUCUCCCCAUACGUCCUCCUUUCUAUGCAUUUUUGGGGUUGUUCUUUUACUAUGAAAACUAAUGCCAGCAUUUUGAGCAACAUGGAACCAGCCAUAUUUUGAAAUCCAGGGACAAUCUUCUUGAAUAGAAUUUACCUGCUGCUGAGUUAGCUGUCUUCCUUGCCACCCAGUUAUCACCUGAGAAAGGAGAAAUGCUGGACAUGAGAAGUAAUUAUGUCAGUAAUAAUUAGGCUAGAGCAAGCCAACCAAAAAGGGAAUGAAACCAAGUAUGGAAUCAAAGGUACCACCAUCAAAUGUCUUCUGAUAUUAUUUUAGGUCUUUUCAAAUUCUAUUAGUUAGCAAAAUCCUUAUAAAGCCUUUGCCCUUAAAAUGACGAUUCUUUUUUGUAAAUGUUAAUUCACCGGCCUGGAGUAGGUUUAGGAUUUUGGUAGGGGCAAGAAGGACAGUGGUGGAGUCGUCUGUUUCUAGCCUGUUGGUCCAGUGAUGAAACUGAUCUUAAGAAAAUGCUUCCCUCCGGGAGUUUGUCUGAGCUAAACUGCUGAGCUAAACUGCUGAUGAGGGAAUUUAUCCAGUAACCUGAGGGCAGCCAUCAUCAUAGCCCCAGACCUUCAUAGGGAAGGGAAUGAAUAGAAUUUUCCUUAGCACACCAGCCUUAAGAGAUUGUAAGCCCCUCUUUUGUAAAGCUUAAAAACGUUAGACUUUGAACAGAGUGCUUACUGUGGGAAAGGGCUCAGAGCAGUUCACAUUACCAAAGAUUGAUUAAAAAAAGCA